CAGCAUGUUAUAUUAACCCUUUUAUCCCCACUGACAGUGAGUGUCUCUCUCCCAUCCCCUCAUUGUGAGUGUGUGUCUCUCUCCCAUCCCCCUCAUUGUGAGUGUGUGUCUCUCUCCCAUCCCCCUCAUUGUGAGUGUGUGUCUCUCUCCCAUCCCCUCAUUGUGAGUGUCUCUCUCUCUCCCAUCCCCUCAUUGUGAGUGUCUCUCUCUCUCUCCCAUCCCCUCAUUGUGAGUCUCUCUCUCUCUCCCAUCCCCUCAUUGUGAGUGUCUCUCUCUCUCUCUCCCAUCCCCUCAUUGUGAGUGUCUCUCUCUCUCUCUCUCUCCCAUCCCCUCAUUGUGAGUGUCUCUCUCUCUCUCUCCCAUCCCCUCAUUGUGAGUGUCUCUCUCAAUCUCCCAUCCCCUCAUUGUGAGUGUCUCUCUCAAUCUCCCAUCCCCUCAUUGUGAGUUGUCUCUCUCAAUCUCCCAUCCCCUUAUUGUGAGUCUCUCUCUCUCCCAUCCCCUCAUUGUCAGU